CCAGGUAGCAAAACGUUAAAUGGCUCUAUAAAGAAUGAUAUUAUGCUAGAGCACAAGGCAUGCCUGCUUCAAAAAUUCUUAACCAAUUCUCAAAUAAAAUAAAUGCCAAGAAGUAUACUGCAAAGUGAGCCAGCAACCUUAAAAAAUGGCCCUGUAUAAGAAGCUUAGCAAUGUUGUUAACAAGAUAUAGGAGCAUAGUGUGCAUUAAAUAUAUACAUAUGUCAUACAAAUCUAUAUAUUCACGCCAAAACAUUAGGGAUAUACAUAGUGUUGGGUGCUUAGUUUCAAUAUGUGAUUAGUAAUUUUAUGAAGGCAAACUGUUCUGUUCCUUAACAAGGACACUCCUCACCGUACCCAAUACAUGAUCAUUGUAGUGGUUAUGGUGCCAUGAUUUUGGGUGCCAUAUGCAGUCUCGUGUCAGACUGCUUUCUGGCUACCAAAGCAUGGCCACUCAACAGCCCCUUUUGUAAUCCAGAAAAUUCACAAUGAGCUGCAGUGGUUGUGUUUAUUAGAGUGCCCCUUUAAAGUGAAAAACAAAAUUACUAUAAAUGUUUGCAAUUUACAAGUCAAAAUUGAACAAUAGUGUGAACUACAACAUUUCUGGCAACUGUGCCAAUGCUGUGCCCAUACAGAGAAAAUACAAAUAAUAUAUAAAUUAUUCUACAUGAAAGGUUUUUUUUGUAAUUUCCAUAAAUCUUUACACAUACACAUCAAUUUACUUUGACAUAACAGUUUAAU